GUGUCAGCAGCCGCGGUAAUACGUAGGCAGCGAGCGUUGUUCGGAGUUACUGGGCGUAAAGGGUGUGUAGGCGGUCCUGUAAGUCUGGUGUGAAAUCUCCCGGCUCAACUGGGAGGGUGCGCCGGAAACUGCAGGGCUAGAGUGCGGGAUGGGAGAGUAGAAUUCCUGGUGUAGCGGUGAAAUGCGUAGAUAUCAGGAGGAAUACCUGUGGUGUAGACGGCUCUCUGGACCGCGACUGACGCUGAGACACGAAAGCGUGGGUAGCAAACAGGAUUAGAUACCCUGGUAGUCCACGCCCUAAACGAUGCACAUUUGGUGUGGGUGAUUCAUUUCAUCCGUGCCGGAGCUAACGCGUUAAAUGUGCCGCCUGGGGAGUACGGUCGCAAGGCUGAA
rnacentral:rRNA from 1 species